CCUACGGGAGGCUGCAGUGGGGAAUAUUGCACAAUGGGGGAAACCCUGAUGCAGCGACGCCGCGUGAGUGAAGAAGUAAUUCGGUAUGUAAAGCUCUAUCAGCAGGGAAGAAAAUGACGGUACCUGAGUAAGAAGCCCCGGCUAACUACGGCCCAGCAGCCGCGGUAAUACGUAGGGGGCAAGCGUUAUCCGGAUUUACUGGGUGGAAAGGGAGCGUAGACGGCAGUGCAAGUCUGGAGUGAAAGGCGGGGGCUCAACCCCCGGACUGCUCUGGAUACUGUACGGCUGGAGUGCAGGAGAGGUAAGUGGAAUUCCAGGUGUAGCGGUGAAAUGCGUAGAUAUUAGGAGGAACACCAGUGGCGAAGGCGGCUUACUGGACUGUAACUGACGUUGAGGCUCGAAAGCGUGGGGAGCAAACAGGAUUAGAUACCCCUGUAGUC
rnacentral:rRNA from 1 species